UACAGGGGGUGCAAACGUUGCUCGGAAUCAUUGGGCGUAAAGCGCACGUAGGCGGUUCGUUAUGUCGGAUGUGAAAGCCCUUGGCUUAACCGAGGAAGUGCAUCCGAAACUGGCGAGCUAGAGUACGAAAGAGGAUCGCGGAAUUCCCGGUGUAGAGGUGAAAUGCGUAGAGAUCGGGAGGAACACCAGAGGCGAAGGCGGCGACCUGGACAAGCACUGACACUCAACUACGAAAGCGUGGGGAGCAAACAGG
rnacentral:rRNA from 1 species